CCGCCUCUCUGCCUUGGCUGCCUCAAUUUCCCCCUGCGGGCGUCGAUAAUCCCCAGCCUGAUGCCAGGGUCCGGCCCCGUCCAGAACUUCCUCCCAAGUCCACUUCUCCCGCCAGUCCAACUCGAACUCCGUCUGCUCCUUCCUCUGCUGCUUGGUCCUUUGGUGGUGGGUGAUUCUGUCACAAUUGUUGUCGGUGAAUGAGGACCAAAACGCAGCAGGUCAAGGUAUGUCCAGAAGGCUUCUACGGCAUGUUCUGAUUGGCUGCUCCGUGGUGAUGUGCUUCCUGGUUCCAUUCUACAAGCCAAUCAUCAGCCUUAUCCCACACCCUGCUGGCCAGGCAUCAUAGAAUAACAAAGAUCCCUGGGACAACCCUGAAGGUUCCCUGGGACAACAUUCCACACCCUUAGUCAGACCAGGCAACAAAGCAUUCAUAAGUCUGAUUACCAACAUGCCCAGACAGAGCAACACAUCAAGACACCUGCCGGACAUGCCCAGAUAGCUUCACAGACUGAGACAUCAAGAACACAUGGACAUAUCCACCAUAACAGCAGACAGAAGAAUGUACAGCCAGGCCCAUGGCAUCAUGAUUCACCACAGGGACAUCCACCAUAACAACAGACAGAAGAAUGUACAGCCAGGCCCAUGGCAUCAUGAUUCACCACAGGGACAUCCACCAUAACAACAGACAGAAGAAUGUACAGCCAGGCCCAUGGCAUCAUGAUUCACCACAGGGACAUCCACCAUAACAACAGACAGAAGAAUGUACAGCCAGGCCCAUGGCAUCAUGAUUCACCACAGGGACAUCCACCAAGACCUGGAUAACCUGCCACAGGAGCCAUUCCAUAAAUGGAUUUGGUGGAAUUUUGAAUCCCUAACUAAUCUACCGAUGUUGCCAGGCCUUGACGACUUGUUCAACGUGACUCAAUGUCACAGACACGAUUUCAAAUAUAACGUAUAGGGGAGCAGAGGAACUAUAGGGGAGCAGAUUAACUAUAGGGGAACAGAGGAACUAUAGGGGAACAGAGGAACUAUAGGGGAGCAGAGGAACUAUAGGGGAGCAGAGGAACUAUAGGGGAGCAGA
rnacentral:lncRNA from 1 species